UAGUGAGAUGAGGAUAUAAUUACAUUAUUGAUGGAUGAUAUGAUGUCCAAUGAAUCAUGUAUUAGCUCUAUCUGAUCACAU
rfam:Hordeum vulgare subsp. vulgare, WGS project CAJW01000000 data, contig: morex_contig_1851303